GAGUUCGAUUAUGGCUCAGAUUGAACGCUGGCGGGAUGCUUUACACAUGCAAGUCGAACGGCAGCACGGACUUCGUCUGGUGGCGAGUGGCGAACAGGUGAGUAAUGUAUCGGAACGUGCCUAGUAGCGGGGGAUAACUACGCGAAAGCGUAGCUAAUACCGCAUACGCCCUUCGGGGGAAAGCGGGGGACCUUCGGGCCUCGCACUAUUAGAGCGGCCGAUAUCGGAUUAGCUAGUUGGUGGGGUAACGGCUCACCAAGGCGACGAUCUGUAGCUGGUUUGAGAGGACGACCCGCACACAGGACGCUGAGACACAGCCCAGACUCCUACGGGAGGCAGCAGUGGGGAAUUUUGGACAAUGGGGAAACCCUGAUCCAGCCAUCCCGCGUGUGCGAUGAAGGCCUUCGGGUUGUAAAGCACUUUUGGCGGGAAAGAAACGGCACGGGAUAUUACCCCGUGCAACUGACAGUACCUGCAGAAUAAGCACCGGCUAACUACGUGCCAGCAGCCGCGGUAAUACGUAGGGUGCAAGCGUUAAUCGGAAUUACUGGGCGUAAAGCGUGCGCGAGCGGUUCGGAAAGAAAGAUGUGAAAUCCCAGAACGCUUUGGAACUGCAUUUUUAACUACCGAGCUAGAGAAUGUGUCAGAGGAGGUGGAAUUCCGCGUGUAGCAGUGAAAUGCGUAGAUAUGCGGAGGAACACCGAUGGCGAAGGCAGCCUCCUGGGAUAACACUGACGCUCAUGCACGAAAGCGUGGGGCAAACAGGAUUAGAUACCCUGGUAGUCCACGCCCUAAACGAUGUCAACUAGCUGUUGGGGCCGUGGGCCUUGGUAGCGCAGCUAACACGCGUGAAGUUGGGCCGCCUGCAGGAAUACGGUCGCAAGAUUAAAACUCAAAGGAAUGACGGGGACCCGCACAAGCGGUGGAUGAUGUGGAUUAAUUCGAUGCAACGCGAAAAACCUUACCUACCCUUGACAUGUCUGGAAUCCAGAGAUUUGGGAGUGCUCAUGAAGAACCGGAACACAGGUGCUGCAUGGCUGUCGUCAGCUCGUGUCGUGAGAUGUUGGGUUAAGUCCCGCAACGAGCGCAACCCUUGUCAUUAGUUGCUACGAAAGACACUCUAAUGGAGACUGCCGGUGACAAACCGGAGGAAGGUGGGGAUGACGUCAAGUCCUCAUGGCCCAUAUGGGUAGGGCUUCACACGUCAUACAAUGGUCAGGACAGAGGUCGCCAACCCGCGAGGAGGGGAGCCAAUCCAGAAACCCGAUCGUAGUCGGAUCGCAGUCUGCAACUCGACUGCGUGAAGUCGGAAUCGCUAGCUAAUCGCGGAUCAGCAUGUCGCGGUGAAUACGUUCCGAUUAUGUACACCGCCGUCACACCAAACGGAAUUUGGGUUUUACCAGAAGUAGUUAGCCUAACCGUAAGGAGGCGAUUACCACGGUAGGAUUCCCGUAACUGGUGAAGUCGUAACAAGGUAA
rnacentral:rRNA from 1 species